rnacentral:rRNA from 1 species
UGAGGAAUAUUGGUCAAUGGGCGGGAGCCUGAACCAGCCAAGCCGCGUGAGGGAAGAAGGCCCUAUGGGUCGUAAACCUCUUUUGUCAGGGAACAAAAGCGAGUAUGUAUACUGGUCUGAGUGUACCUGAAGAAAAAGCAUCGGCUAACUCCGUGCCAGCAGCCGCGGUAAUACGGAGGAUGCGAGCGUUAUCCGGAUUUAUUGGGUUUAAAGGGUGCGUAGGCGGCGGUGCAAGUCAGCGGUAAAAGCCCGGGGGCUCAACCCCGGCGAGCCGUUGAAACUGCAGUGCUAGAGAAGGCGAGAGGUACGCGGAAUGCGCAGUGUAGCGGUGAAAUGCUUAGAUAUUGCGCAGGACUCCGAUUGCGAAGGCAGCGUACUGGCGCCUGACUGACGCUGAGGCACGAAAGCGUGGGGAUCGAACAGGAUUAGAUACC